rnacentral:rRNA from 1 species
UAGGGAAUAUUGGGCAAUGGAGGCAACUCUGACCCAGCCAUGCCGCGUGCAGGAAGACGGUCCUCUGGAUUGUAAACUGCUUUUGAAUAGGAAGAAACGAUGCUUUGCGAAGCAUUUUGACGGUACUAUUAGAAUAAGCCACGGCUAACUACGUGCCAGCAGCCGCGGUAAUACGUAGGUGGCGAGCGUUAUCCGGAUUUAUUGGGUUUAAAGGGUGCGUAGGCGGCGGUUUAAGUCGGUGGUGAAAGGUAGCAGCUCAACUGUUUUACAUGCUGCCGAUACUGAAUUGCUUGAGAUACGAGGAGGCAGGAAGAAUUCUGGGUGUAGCGGUGAAAUGCUUAGAUACCCGGAGGAACCCCGAUUGCGAAGGCAUCUUGCUACUCGUUUUCUGACGCUGAUG